UACGUAGGGAGCAAGCGUUGUCCGGAUUUAUUGGGCGUAAAGAGCUCGUAGGCGGCUUAGAAAGUCGGGUGUGAAACCUCCAGGCUCAACCUGGAGACGCCACUCGAUACUUCUAUGGCUUGAGUUCGGUAGGGGACCAUGGAAUUCCGGGUGUAGCGGUGAAAUGCGUAGAUAUCCGGAGGAACACCGGUGGCGAAGGCGGCUUCCUGGACCGACACUGACGCUGAGGCGCGAAAGCUAGGGGAGCAAACGGG
rnacentral:rRNA from 1 species